CAUUUCAGCAGAAGUAACUUUAGCAGAAAUGCUCUGACCACCUCCAGACUGUUCUCAGUGGCACCAGGCACUGCAGGCAAAACGGAGACAUCUUGGCAAAAUUACACCAUUGAAAUUGCCGGCAGAAGAGCUCAAUUUAACACCCACUAAUUGUUGCACAAUAGUUACAGGAAUAAACUGAAUUUGUUAAUUAGAUGCACGCCAAUGAGUAAUUCAAGACUGGUUUAAAUAAUUAUUCCUAUCUUCCCAAUAGGCUGCGGUGGUGAUUAGCUCGCUGGCUGUUUCUCUUGACUGUUCUGCUUCAAAUAGAAAAGAGAGUUGCAUGAGGAAUCUGAAGACAGACCAAGCCAUGGAAGAUAGAGGUUCCCAAAGGACACGUGAACUGAGACUGCGUUGAUUCAUAAAUCUUCAGGGGAUUUGCCACCCCUGAACUCAAACCUCUACUAUUCUGUUGAUCCAUACUACAGUAUGGAAGUUCAACUGGCUAGUUGUCUUAUGGGUCUUUGUACUUCCAUCUAUUGCUCCCUCACCAUCACCACUGAAACACACUUCACGGCAACUACCAAAUAAAGAUGACAAAUGUUACCACAUGACACCACAUAUUCAAAAAGUUUUUUCCAGCUUGCUUUUGAUAACAAUACAAAGAUGGUUUUGCAGAGCUCAAAGACUUCUCCCCCAGCCAAUCAAAUAAGAAAGCAUAUCAACAAUCUAGCCCACUUCUUCAAUGGAAUGCUGAGGAAAUUACCUAUUAGCUUCAGCUGCUCCAGCCCUGCCUCUGGAGAGUCCAGCCAUUCCUUGAUACAGCUGUGGCUUCAGUGCUGCUCAGCAUUAACUCCUUGCCUCCCACCUUCAAGUACAGACCUGCUCAUCCCAAAAGUUUGGGUUGUUCUCAGUUUGUACAUAAGGCAGGCCAUAAGGCAGAAACUAAGAACAGUGAGGACUGUUCUCAAGAACUGUUCUUUAUUGGAAGAGAGAAUAUGCAUACAACCCCAAUGGGGAGGAACUCAAGGAGUUUCUAGCCUUCUCUUUUUUAAUGGCCCUAGAGGUGUUCUGUGGUAUGCCAAUAAACUCUCCCUUAAACAUCCUGCUUCUUCCACCUCUGCUCAGAAUUGAAACUAGCUGGAACAAAAUUCAAAAUAAACUUCUCACUGACCAAAUAAUGGACAAAUGUCUCAGGCAUCCUGAGAAGAGAGAGACAACAUGGAUGGAAUGGAAAAGUGAUUUACAGGAACUGGCUAACACCGAACAGAUGAAGCUGUUUCAUAGACCAAGUGGGGGCAGGAGAUUUUCCUGCCAUGAAACAGCAUGGGAACUUUUCCAUAGGCUUUAACUCAAUAGAAACUUCAUCUAACUACUACACAGACUUCUUUUUAAGUAUUUUUUCUCCAAAUUUCCAUGAUCUAGAUGCAUAAAUUGGCUUCUCCUCUGUUUGAUCUGAGAUAGUCAGCUCUUUCCUGCAGUACGAUUGUCUUGACUUACUGUCUCCAGUUUGAG
rnacentral:lncRNA from 1 species